CUCCGUUUCCUCUUCGACGCCGUGUGCCCGAGGCUUCGCCUGAUUCCUGCCCUAACCGCCCAUGGUGGUUCCUCCUCUCCCACGUGUGCAUAAGCCCGGGACCAAGAGAAGUCGGCAUAUCUCUUUUCCCUCUCCGCAAUCGAGCGACCUCCCUUGUGCCCUAGUGAGCCGCGAGCCGAUUCUCCUUUUGUGUGCCGACGUCGCCUCCCUUCAUCCUCCCUGUCCAAGCACCGGCGACCCGCGAGUCACCGCUGGCCGAGCCGCCCUCCCGAUUCUCCCUCCUUGCCGGCGCUUGAGCAAGAGUCGGUCGACUCCUCUGCCUCCCGAUCCCUCUCCCCUCCAGCGACGCUAACCACCGUUGUGCCCUAGAUUGGGUUCACAGUCACCGAUCACGCGGACGUCGACGCACAGUACCUCUUCGCUGUGCCCUAGCACCGACAGCCGACUUCACCUGUGCCCUAGCUCCGAACCUUGCCUCCUCCUCAGAGCAGUAGUGAUUUGAUAGUGUGACAGCAAGAGGGUUGCAGGUUCGAUCAGUAGCAUUACUGUUCUGCUGAUUUCGGGCUGGCAAGUGCUGAGUGGAUUACUAAACAGUAGCCAUACUCAGCUACGGCCACCGUCUCAUAGCUGUGGACUUCCCCGGUCGAGAAUCCUAUUAGCUACCACGAAUUUGGACUUUGACGCGAGACGAGUAUCUCGACGUCGGAUUUGGACCGAUUAGACUUUUCAU